rnacentral:lncRNA from 1 species
GUCAGCAUCUUCCUGUCAUUUAUGCAAGGGCAAUGCAUAGCUACAGGUCCAAAAAUAUCCCCAGCCCAUUCCUUUAUGGGAGCAAAAGAGCCGAACGGCCUCGGCACGCUGGUGGAUUCUGUAAUUAGCACACGCCGCUCCGGAGACAAAAGGAAGGAGAACAAUCCUACAGCCGGAGCACAUUCCAAGAAAAGCCCAGUAGUGUAGGAAUCAUGGGUACCUACGACUCCUUCACACCAGACUGCGACACGGUGAGUCACCUCGGCUAAAAGCAGACGAUGACAUAAACGCCGUGUUCGGAAAAUCCGCCCGCUCCGGAGACAAAAGGACUGCCGAGGGUCAGGAAGGAGAACAAUCCUACAGCCGGAGCACAUUCCAAGAAAAGCCCAGCGUGUAGGAAUCAUGGGUACCUACGACUCCUUCACACCAGACUGCGACACGAGGCCGUGCUUCUCAAUGCAAUCAUUCUUUGAUUCCUGGCGAAUCUGUCGGCGUGUGUGCAGGAAACGGGGCCAAAGCGGCUUCCUGAGCGGCUCAGGAGGAAACACGGAAAUAAGAAAGGGGUGUGUGUUUAAAAAUAACUCGGGUAUAAAAGGUCCAGGCAGGAUCCCACUCACUCUCAGACUCGCAGGAUGCUUCUCCGGCGGUGCACACUAGAAAGUAUGCUUCAGGCACGCAGCCCUAUGAAGAGUCACACUACUAUGAGGACUUUUGCAUGAGCACCACUGAAACAAACGACAAAAAAAAUACAUUUUCAUUGCACAAAAUAAAAUAGAACAUAAAAAACUUUAGAAAAAAAUGUUUAUUUCACCACAAAUUAUUUUAUCUCACCACUCUAAAACUAAAAAUGUAUAAAAACUAUAUAGAAAUAAAAAACUAAAAUUAAAGUGAAAACAGAUCAUUUAAAAAUAAAAUCUAAAUCAUUUAGUUUAACUUCAAGUACUAAACUAAAUUAAAUAAAUAAGUUUAACAAAAACUAUACUGACAUAUUUUUAAAAAACAAUAAAAAAUACAAAAACACAACAAAAUUAGUACAACUUUAACUAAAAUUACAAUGAACACACAAAAUAUAAAAAUUAAAUCUAAACCGUUUAGUUUAACAUGAAAUACUAAACUAACUUUAAUAAAUAAAAAUGAAACAAAAAUGUCAUCUUUAACUAAA